UGGGGAAUUUUGGACAAUGGGCGCAAGCCUGAUCCAGCCAUGCCGCGUGCGGGAAGAAGGCCUUCGGGUUGUAAACCGCUUUUGUCAGGGAAGAAAUCCCUUGAGAUAAUACCUCGGGGGGAUGACGGUACCUGAAGAAUAAGCACCGGCUAACUACGUGCCAGCAGCCGCGGUAAUACGUAGGGUGCGAGCGUUAAUCGGAAUUACUGGGCGUAAAGCGUGCGCAGGCGGUCUUGCAAGACAGGUGUGAAAUCCCCGGGCUUAACCUGGGAACUGCACUUGUGACUGCAAGGCUGGAGUACGGCAGAGGGGGAUGGAAUUCCGCGUGUAGCAGUGAAAUGCGUAGAUAUGCGGAGGAACACCGAUGGCGAAGGCAAUCCCCUGGGCCUGUACUGACGCUCAUGCACGAAAGCGUGGGGAGCAAACAGGAUUAGAUACCCUGGUAGUCCACGCCCUAAACGAUGUCAACUGGUUGUUGGACGGCUUGCUGUUCAGUAACGAAGCUAACGCGUGAAGUUGACCGCCUGGGGAGUACGGCCGCAAGGUUG
rnacentral:rRNA from 1 species